CAAGUUUUUAAGGGCGCACGGUGGAUGCCUUGGCACCAGGAACCGAUGAAGGACGUGGGAGGCCACGAUAGGCCCCGGGGAGCUGUCAACCGAGCUUUGAUCCGGGGGUGUCCGAAUGGGGAAACCCGGCAGUCGUCAUGGGCUGUCACCCGCUGCUGAACACAUAGGCAGUGUGGAGGGAACGCGGGGAAGUGAAACAUCUCAGUACCCGCAGGAAGAGAAAACAACCGUGAUUCCGGGAGUAGUGGCGAGCGAAACUGGAUGAGGCCAAACCAGUCACGUGUGAUACCCGGCAGGGGUUGCGUGGUUGGGGUUGUGGGAUCUCUCUUUUGCAGUCUGCCGGCUGUGAGGCGAGUCAGAAACCGUUGAUGUAGGCGAAGGACAUGCGAAAGGUCCGGCGUAGAGGGUAAGACCCCCGUAGCUGAAACAUUAGCGGCUCGUUUGAGAGACACCCAAGUAGCACGGGGCCCGAGAAAUCCCGUGUGAAUCUGGCGGGACCACCCGUUAAGCCUAAAUAUUCCCUGGUGACCGAUAGCGGAUAGUACCGUGAGGGAAUGGUGAAAAGUACCGCGGGAGCGGAGUGAAAUAGUACCUGAAACCGUGUGCCUACAAGCCGUGGGAGCGUCGCGCAGAGAACUUGUUCUUUGCGUCGUGACUGCGUGCCUUUUGAAGAAUGAGCCUGCGAGUUUGCGGUAUGUUGCGAGGUUAACCCGUGUGGGGAAGCCGUAGCGAAAGCGAGUCCGAAUAGGGCGUGGAGUAGCAUGCUCAAGACCCGAAGCGGAGUGAUCUAGCCAUGGGCAGGUUGAAGCGGAGGUAAGACUUCGUGGAGGACCGAACCCACCAGGGUUGAAAACCUGGGGGAUGACCUGUGGUUAGGGGUGAAAGGCCAAUCAAACUCCGUGAUAGCUGGUUCUCCCCGAAAUGCAUUUAGGUGCAGCGUCGUGUGUUUCUUGCCGGAGGUAGAGCACUGGAUAGGCGAUGGGCCCUACCGGGUUACUGACCUUAGCCAAACUCCGAAUGCCGGUAAGUGAGAGCGCGGCAGUGAGACUGUGGGGGAUAAGCUCCAUGGUCGAGAGGGAAACAGCCCAGAGCAUCGACUAAGGCCCCUAAGCGUGUGCUAAGUGGGAAAGGAUGUGGAGUCGCAGAGACAACCAGGAGGUUGGCUUAGAAGCAGCCACCCUUGAAAGAGUGCGUAAUAGCUCACUGGUCAAGUGAUUCCGCGCCGACAAUGUAGCGGGGCUCAAGUACACCGCCGAAGUCGUGUCAUUGCGAUAUUACUCCUAACGGGGAUCGUGAUGGGUAGGGGAGCGUCGUGUGCCGGGUGAAGCAGCCGUGGAAACGAGUUGUGGACGGUUCACGAGUGAGAAUGCAGGCAUGAGUAGCGAUACAAGAGUGGGAAACUCUUGCGCCGAUUGACUAAGGGUUCCUGGGUCAAGCUGAUCUGCCCAGGGUAAGUCGGGACCUAAGGCGAGGCCGACAGGCGUAGUCGAUGGACAACCGGUUGAUAUUCCGGUACCCGCUUUGAAGCGCCCAAUACUGAAUCAGGCGAUGCUAAGUCCGUGAAGCCGCCCUGGAUCCUUCGGGUGAAGGGGAGUGGUGGAGCCGACGGACCAGACUUGUAGUAGGUAAGCGAUGGGGUGACGCAGGAAGGUAGUCCAGCCCGGGCGGUGGUUGUCCCGGGGUAAGGGUGUAGGCCGUGUGGUAGGUAAAUCCGUCGCACGUUAAGGCUGAGACCUGAUGCCGAGCCGAUUGUGGUGAAGUGGAUGAUCCUAUGCUGUCGAGAAAAGCCUCUAGUGAGUUUCAAGGCGGCCCGUACCCUAAACCGACUCAGGUGGUCAGGUAGAGAAUACCGAGGCGUUCGGGUGAACUAUGGUUAAGGAACUCGGCAAAAUGCCCCCGUAACUUCGGGAGAAGGGGGGCCAUUUCUGGUGAGGGAACUUGCUUCCUGAGCUGGGGGUGGCCGCAGAGACCAGCGAGAAGCGACUGUUUACUAAAAACACAGGUCCGUGCGAAGCCGUAAGGCGAUGUAUACGGACUGACGCCUGCCCGGUGCUGGAACGUUAAGGGGACCGGUUAGCUUGGAUUCGUUCAGGCGAAGCUGAGAACUUAAGCGCCAGUAAACGGCGGUGGUAACUAUAACCAUCCUAAGGUAGCGAAAUUCCUUGUCGGGUAAGUUCCGACCUGCACGAAUGGCGUAACGACUUCUCGACUGUCUCAACCAUAGGCCCGGUGAAAUUGCAUUACGAGUAAAGAUGCUCGUUUCGCGCAGCAGGACGGAAAGACCCCGGGACCUUUACUAUAGCUUGAUAUUGGUGUUCGGUUCGGCUUGUGUAGGAUAGGUGGGAGACUGUGAAGCGCCAACGCCAGUUGGUGUGGAGUCGUUGUUGAAAUACCACUCUGGUCGUGCUGGAUGUCUAACCUGGGUCCGUGAUCCGGAUCAGGGACAGUGUCUGGUGGGUAGUUUAACUGGGGCGGUUGCCUCCUAAAGAGUAACGGAGGCGCCCAAAGGUUCCCUCAGCCUGGUUGGUAAUCAGGUGUUGAGUGUAAGUGCACAAGGGAGCUUGACUGUGAGACUGACGGGUCGAGCAGGUACGAAAGUAGGGACUAGUGAUCCGGCGGUGGCUUGUGGAAGCGCCGUCGCUCAACGGAUAAAAGGUACCCCGGGGAUAACAGGCUGAUCUUCCCCAAGAGUCCAUAUCGACGGGAUGGUUUGGCACCUCGAUGUCGGCUCGUCGCAUCCUGGGGCUGGAGUCGGUCCCAAGGGUUGGGCUGUUCGCCCAUUAAAGCGGUACGCGAGCUGGGUUUAGAACGUCGUGAGACAGUUCGGUCCCUAUCCGCUGUGCGCGUAGGAGUCUUGAGAAGGGCUGUCCCUAGUACGAGAGGACCGGGACGGACGAACCUCUGGUGUGCCAGUUGUUCUGCCAAGGGCAUGGCUGGUUGGCUACGUUCGGAAAGGAUAACCGCUGAAAGCAUCUAAGCGGGAAGCCUGCUUCGAGAUGAGGGCUCCCUCCUCCUUGAGAGGGUAAGGCUCCCAGUAGACGACUGGGUUGAUAGGCCAGAUAUGGAAGCACUGUAAGGUGUGGAGUUGACUGGUACUAAUAGGCCGAGGGCUUGUCC
rnacentral:rRNA from 1 species